CUUUGAUUUCGUGACCACCCCCCGGGGGGGCGGGCUGGCAGGUGCGGGGGUGGGAGCCGUCUCCGCGGGAGCAGCCUUGCCAAAGGUCCGGCUGCUGACGUCCGAGCGCCCGCUCCUGUCAAUGAACGGCAGCGGUAGCCUGGGGACUGUUCUGGCAACGAGGCUACAGACGUCAUCGCCUCCUGUUGGACGCGGGGGGGUGUCCGAGCAGCAUCUCCGGCUUAAAGGGAAACUCUCUAAGUUCCGGGCAGCCGGGAGAGUCGUUCCUGAGAGCACAAGCACCCCCAAAUGUGAAGUGCACUCGGACACACACACACACACACACGCACGCACACACAAGCACUCAUGUUCUAAAGAGAGAGGUCUGAGUCCGAAGUUGCUGCUGCUGGGAGCUUGAGCUGAGAUGGACUGGUCUUCAUGGGCGCCCAAGGCGCUGGGUGCAGCUUUCCCCGAGACCCCCAGAUGGAAAGGAGGGAAGGAGGAACCCCACACACUCGCCUUUUGCGAGAAGAUCGGCGCGCACCCCAGAGUGCCCCAAGCCUUUGGAAUCUGCCUGCUGAGCGGAGCGCGCGAGCGUGGUGGACAGGUCCCGAACUUGGCCAGCGGGCUUUCUUGGCAACUUGCUUUGCGCAGUUCUCCAUGGAACCCUGGACCCACUGUGCUCCCGGCGCCUUGCCUUUUUUUUUCUUUUUCUUUCUCUCACUGUCUCUUUUUAAAUUUAUGAACUCGAAAUGAAGCGGAAAGCAGAUAUGCGCGUCAGCAUACUUUGGCGGUUCUUCAUGUGGGGGAUGGUCAGCGGGAGAUGGCACUUCAUAAGAUCUGCGGUGGUCACCCCAGUCAUCAUCCGACGUGUUGCACCAGUCUGUGGCACUUCAUAAGGUCUGCAGUGGUCACCCCAGUCAUCAUCCGAUGUGUUGCACCAGUUUGUGGCACUUCAUAAGUUCUGCGGUGGUCACCCCAGUCAUCAUCCGACGUGUUGCACCAGUGUGUGUUGCUGUUUGAGCCGUGCUGCCGACCCCUUCCAGGGCAUCUGCCAUGGGCACCUCCUCCAGCCCGUGCACUAAGACUCAAGAGAGUCGAAGAACCAGGGAAUCGUUGUAAUAACAAGCAUUCUGAAUUGCAUCGUACUGUGUACUAGGUGGGUUUAAAAGAUAACUCAUCUCAAAUGGGUUAGCGUGACCAAUAUGGCUUAAUCGUGAUGUUUAACUGAUUUCAUCUUGCCAUGGAGCCUAUAUCCCCAUUGAGGGUGGAAGAAAAGAUAACAUUUUUCUUAGUUAAAGGUAACAAUCUUUUCUGGACUGAAACUAUUUCUUUUUGAAAAAUAGAGUUUCUGAAUCCAUCAACUCAAAACUCAGAUUAUUUACCAGGGCCAUUUCCUGUUUGCUGCUUCUUCCAAAGUAGGUGCCCUGUGGCAAGACAGAUGCGAUGGCUUCCUGGAGUCAGGACAGGGACCACACAUAAUCGAGGCUGUCACGUUUUGUUGCAUGUACCUGACCUCACGUGGUGGCACAGCUUCUCUCACUGGGACUCUGGGCCAAGGCCUCAGUCCUCCCUGUACCUACUGCUGUGGGGCCAGCUUAGUCACUCCCCUAGGCAUGGCCAAGGCGGAAGUCCCCUCUGCAGCUUGCUUUGUCCCACCUUGGCAUUCAUGUAGGAUUCAAACAAGUCCCUCACCUGGCCCCUGGCUUAGACUGUCCACCCACAGCAAUCUUGGCUCUGAAAUCACCUUGUUUCUCACCUCGAUGGUUUCUUGAUGGGCCUCAGCUCUCAGCUACCUUCCUUAGCAGGAGUAUUCGGGAACUUCUGUUGCUGGAAACACGGGAGAGCAUUCUGCCCGAAGGCCGCACUGCCAUUUCUCCUUUGAGGUAGAACAUCACCUUGGUGCAGAGCACUCCAUGAGGUCUCCUCCCAGAGCCUUCCCGGUGGGAGGUAGGUGCAAGCUCCUCUGCUCUCUGACUUAGUUCUGCCUCCAUCCCCACCACACCCACUACUGAGAGGUGGAACCUCCUCCCCAGGAAGGGAGAAUCAAUAACUCUUUCUCCUGGCAGUGUACUCUUCUCUUGUUCUCCAUUGACAGAGCUUUAUACUUUCUUUGCCUGAUGGUAGGAACUUCCUCUACCUAUCCUGAGGUCUCUCCACCUGCACUUGAUAAUAAAACUCUUGGUUCAGGUCUCAAGGUCUUAUUUUGGUCUUACUUUUAUUAAGUGGAAGAAGACUUUGCAAUUUAGACAUCUCUUGUCUAUUGACAGACACACACACACAGACAC
rnacentral:lncRNA from 10 species